CCCUCCACCUUCGCGGCGUUCUGGUUGCUAUGCCCUUUUGUGGCUGUUACAAGCCCGCCCCCCCGCAACGCCCUUCUGUCUGAGUGUUCUUCGCUGGGCUCGGAACUUUGGGACACAUGUAUGAAGUAUGAACACAGACAAAGCCUCACUUCAAAGCUCGUGUUAAGGGCCCUUGAAGUAAUAGUUAUUGCAAAACUACGGCCGUCUAGCUAACCUGUCUUAUUUUGUAAGGGUACUUGGGAAAGUGUGAUUCACCAAACAUUUUCGCGGACAUUUCAAAAUUGUUGGAGUCAGAAUAGGAGAGAGACCACCCAUUUGAGGUCGUGGCUUGACAGGAAUGGGACCAAUCUAGACUUCUCUUCUCUGGCUUCUUUGUGCUUUGCAUUUUUUGGAGGGCUGGGAUAGUGGCCUGUCUUCAUGCAUGAUGAGAUGAUCAACACCAACAGGGAAGGAAGGAAGAUCUUUGCCACAGAGGAUCCUAGUUCCAGCUUCCAGAAAUCUAUAAUCUCAGCCACAGCAGCAACAACAGAAUCAUCGUGGGAUGUGUGAAGAGGGGAAUGCAGAAAUGACAG